CUGCUGCCUUCCGUAGGAGUUUGGGCCGUGUCUCAGUCCCAAUGUGGCCGGUCACCCUCUCAGGUCGGCUACUGAUCGUUGCCUUGGUGAGCCGUUACCUCUCCAACUAGCUAAUCAGACGCGGGUCCAUCUCAUACCACCUCAGUUUUUCACACCAAACCAUGCGGUUUUGUGCGCUUAUGCGGUAUUAGCAGUCAUUUCUAACUGUUAUCCCCCUGUAUGAGGCAGGUUACCCACGCGUUACUCACCCGUCCG
rnacentral:rRNA from 1 species